UGUGACUCGAAACCUAAAUAAAAUAAUAAUAAAAAAUAAUAACAGCAUGGCAGCCCACAGUAUCUUUCUUUCUGGCUUUACCAUGAUCUUCCGAAAACACUUGACAAAUAACUUAGAAGUCCUAACUCCAAAACCUAAAUCCCAAAACAACAAAAGCCCCCUUCCCUCCCGGAAGAUCCAAUCCUCACCCUCUUUCUAUUCAUAUUUGUUUCCGUAGCCACUACUGUCACUCCGUGUCACACUGAACAAAUAUAUCCAUACCCUGCUCCUUUUUGCUUAAUUCUUGUUCUUUAUUAUCUCAAGAUUGCUUUUUUUGAGUUUUCAUCUUGUUGUUUUUUCUAUUUUCCACAUGGGUUUUGAAGAUUUCUUCUACUCAGUGCCUGGAAUCAUUGUUUUAGCAUAUGGGUAUGCUUCUGUUUGAUAAAAUUCCUCUGCGAGUUUUCCAUGUGUAGUGGGUUUCUUGACGUUAUUGCAUUGGAUCUUGAGGAUGGAACAUGGGUAUGUUUCAAUUUGAGGAAGAAACCAAGACAUGCUCUCUCUGCGAAACACUCGCAGAUUCUGCAACUUUGCUGCUUCCGUUGCAUUAACUCGGAGUCCUGCAGCUGUAUCUAACCGCAUUCAGAAUCAAAACCAGAAACCUUUGGAGGAACCUGCACUUGUUAGGCUUAAAGCUGAGAGAGACCCUGAAAAGCUAUUUAAUCUUUUCAAGGCCAAUGCUGAGAAUAGGCUUGUUGUGGAGAAUCGGUUUGCAUUUGAAGAUACCGUUUCUCGCUUGGCUGGUGCUAACAGGUUUGAUUACAUUGAGCAUUUACUUGAGCACCAGAAGCCUCUUCCACAAGGUAGGCGCGAAGGGUUCAUGGUGAGGAUUAUAAUGCUGUAUGGAAAGGCUGGAAUGAUAAAGCAUGCUAUUGAUACUUUCUAUAAUAUGCAUUUGCACGGCUGUAAAAGGACUGUUAAAUCCGUCAAUGCUGCACUGAAGGUUUUGACUGGAACCCGUGAUUUAGCAGCAAUCGAGGCCUUUGUUAAUGAGGCGCCGAAGAAGUUUGAUAUUGAGCUAGACAUAUUUUCUGUUAACAUCAUUGUUAAGGCUUUAUGUGAAACGGGAAAUUUGGAUAAAGCAUAUUUGCUCAUGGUAGAGAUGGAAAAGUCAGGGGUAAGGCCAGAUGUCAUCACAUACACCACACUUAUGUCAGCAUUUUAUAAGAACAACAGGUCAGAGAUUGGCAAUGGAUUGUGGAAUCUUAUGGUGCUUAAGGGAUGUUUACCCAAUCUUGCAACAUUUAAUGUUAGAAUUCAGUAUUUGGUCAACAUAAGACGGGCAUGGCAUGCAAAUGAUGUGAUGCGUUUGAUGCUAAAAAUUGGGAUUAUGCCUGAUGAGGUUACAUAUAAUUUGGUUAUAAAAGGCUUUUUCCAGACUGGUAAACUUGAGAUGGCCAAAAUGGUGUAUUUUUCUUUACGUGGCAAGGGGCAUAAAUUUAAUGUUAAAGUUUACCAAACAAUGGUUCAUUAUUUAUGCAAGGGUGGGGAGUUUGAUUUGGCUUAUACAAUGUGUAGAGAUUGCAUGAGAAAUAACUGGUUUUUGAAUGUGGAUACCAUUCAUAUGCUGCUUGAAGGGCUGAAGAAGAAUGGGCAGCUUAACAAGGCUAAGGUGAUCGUGACUUUAGCUCAGAAGAGAGUGCCUCCUUUUCCUUCAAGUCAUUUGCGUUCCUUGCAAGCUGUGUUGUCUAGAAGUUGAAUUGAGGUUAUGGAAAUGCUCAGAUAAACUUGGUUUUGUAACACCACAGCCUCACAGCAGGGGAUAUUCAUUUCAUUUUGUCCUCUGAUACAUCCACAUAACCAUAUGGAUAUCCUCGCCCUUAAACAUCAAACAAAGGGAACGUUCCCUUUAUUCAAUUAAUUUGUUGUAGCUUUUAAUAAGUUCCUGAUGAAAUGAAAUUUCUAAAUUUCUAACUGGAUGGUGCCAUGAUUCUUGUAAGUUUUCAUUCAAUUUUUUCCCUUAUCUUUGUCUGUUUCAAAUGCAUUACUCUUUUCUUUCUAAUCUACGAGUGUUGGAGCAUGUGGGUUUUGGAUGUUCACCUGUCAAUAAUUGCUGUACUUACUGAAUACUGAUGUCUCAUGCCAUCUUUUUUAAACUUGUUAUUUGCAUCAAUCUUCAUGGACUUGGAGUGUUCUUUUUAAAUCAUCAUGCAACUUCCUCAUUGUAUGUAUUUAUGAGUGUGAACAUGUCUUCUGCUCUGACUUUCAUGUUAGGCAUAUUUACAUCAGGUUUGAUAUGUAAAUUGGCUUAAAGUUUUGAUUUGAUUUGAUUUUCUAAUAUGAUGCCUUUUAUUUGAAAUUUUUGCAGUUUCAAUUGACGAAGAGCUGUUUAGCCAGCCAAAAGAGUGUGUUAUCUCUUUGUUAUCUAUUGCUUAGAUGCCAGCAUUGGACAAAAGUUGCAAAUCAAAAUUGGCACAGCCUGAAAGGGAAGAGAGGUGUGCUGGAGAAAGGAUACUGUUGUGAAGUAAUGGGAUGACGGUUGCAAGGUGGAAUGUUUAAUGGUGCUCUUUGGCAGCAGAAAUUGCUUCUGAAGUGUUUGUUAAUUUAUAGCUUUCUAGUAGAAACUUGAUGUCUCAUUUGACUGAGGCAGUCAGUGUUCGACGGAUUAAUUUUUCAUGGCUAGAUUGUGGUUGCAGAUCUGGAUAAAGUGGGAUAGCUAGCCAGUGUUGUCAAAGGCGAAAAUGCCCAAGGUGUUAGGUGCACGCCGGAAUGAACCAAGAUGAUAUGUUCUAACUUAAAAGAAUACAUGUAUGAUAUUAUAUACAUAAUCAUAUAAAGUUACAUUUUUUUCAGCUUUAAAACAAAAUAAACAAAAUAAGAAAGUUAUUUCUCUGCGAAAAGGCACCAUGUAAGUGUUCGUUGAAAUUCAUUGUCUAAGCAUCUGAGCGUCUUUUGACAACAUUUUAUUAGCAA